GGGAAAAUAGGCGGGACCGCGACGCGGGAUGAGAAGGCUUGGAGCGGUGGGGGCGCUCACGUCAGAUACAGGGUCUUGCUCCAUAGCCCAGGCUGCAAUGCAGUGAUGUGAUCAUAGCUUGCUGGCAGCCUCAAUCUCCUGGGCUCAACCGAUCGUGCUGCCUUAGCCUCCCCUGUUACAGAGACAAGGUCAUACUAUGUUGCCCAGGCUGGUCUCGAACUCCUAGCCUUGAUCCUCCUGCUUCAGCUUCCCAAAGUGCUGGGAUUACAAGCAUGAGCCACUGUGCCCAGCUGUAUACUGGAUAUCUGAGACUUGGUACCAAAAAAAAA